rnacentral:tRNA from 1 species
GCUUCCAUGGCGUAGUUGGUUAUCGCGUUCGGCUGUUAACCGAAAGGUCGCCGGUUCGAGUCCGGCUGGAAGCG